CGAACACAAGAGCUGAGUGGUGCAUCAGUGGAGGAUGGAGUUUCCACUGAGGACUAUGUUGCUUCUCUCUCUGGGGCCGCUGCUGGCUCGGGGUGAGUACCGCUCAUAACUCAUCUUCCUCCCGCUGCUAUGAAGACCUUAAGCAAAGGGAUUCCCAACCGGGGGUACGCCCGCACUCGGGGGAAAUUGUUCCAGAGAAGGAUAUAAAGGUAUAUCAGACGGCAGAUUUGGAGGUCGUAGAGGGAGACAGCAAAACUCUCCAUUGUUGCUGGACAGGCGCCAACCACACACAGUAUAGAGCGCAUUGGUGGAAAAAUGAGGAUACAAUUACUCACCAACUGACAGCCCUAACAAACAACUGGGAGGGCUGUGGUUUGGACCGGUCACCUGUGAAGAACGGCACCUGUAGCUGUGUCAACCUGACCCUUCUCAAUGUGACCCGCAACCACACCGGACGCUUCGUCUGCAAGGUGAUCAUGAAUAGGCCCAUACUUAUUCAAUUUAGGGGAAGCGGCACAAUGAUCAUCGUCAGAGAACGACGGAACCCCACAACACAAGAAAACGCGUCACUGCGGCCCCUGGUCCCAGUCGUUGUUUCAAUGGCUAUAGUAAUGGCCGCCGCGUUCCUCGUCGCUCUGAUCUGUUUAUGGAAGCUGCGGAAGAGACGAGGGUUGGACCGAGCAGCAAGGGUGAUCUAUGAGGUUCCCCACAAAGACGCUGAGGUGGACGGAACCAGCACCAGCUCGUCCAAAGGGUCCUCCCAGUGGUGUCAGGUACCCGUGUAUGAGUCCUUCGACUACUUUGAGCGUGUGGUGGAAAGCAAGGGCAGUGGAUGAAGGAGUCUCAAUCUGUUGUUUCCCUUGUUGGUUUUGGAAAUAUCUCUGAUACGUUCUGUCAUCUUCUUUUUCCAUCCAUGUUGGUUUACUUAGUAGAAACAGACUACUUAGUAAAGUCUCUUGAAACAUGCAAACAAAAAAGGCUCAGCUUUAAAAGUUCCACACUUUUUUUGUCUGUAGUGACAGGGGU